rnacentral:rRNA from 1 species
AUUGAACGCUGGCGGCAGGCCUAACACAUGCAAGUCGAGCGGUAACACAGGGAGCUUGCUCCCGGGUGACGAGCGGCGGACGGGUGAGUAAUGUCUGGGAAACUGCCUGAUGGAGGGGGAUAACUACUGGAAACGGUAGCUAAUACCGCAUAACGUCGCAAGACCAAAGAGGGGGACCUUCGGGCCCCUGGCCAUCAGAUGUGCCCAGAUGGGAUUAGCUAGUAGGUGGGGUAACAGCUCACCUAGGCGACGAUCCCUAGCUGGUCUGGGAGGAUGACCAGCCACACUGGAACUGAGACACGGUCCAGACUCCUACGGGAGGCAGCAGUGGGGAAUAUUGCACAAUGGGCGCAAGCCUGAUGCAGCCAUGCCGCGUGUAUGAAGAAGGCCUUCGGGUUGUAAAGUACUUUCAGCGGGGAGGAAGGUGCUGAGGUUAAUAACCUCAGCAAUUGACGUUACCCGCAGAAGAAGCACCGGCUAACUUCGUGCCAGCCGCCGCGGUAACAC